ensembl:lncRNA
UGGAUGUCGCUAAAUUAAUAACUUCUUUGACGUCCUAACCAUGGAUGUUGUUUAAGAAGAUAACAUAUAUUAACAGUUAAAAUAACAGUUUAAAUUCCCAAAAUCGCGCGAGUCCGUUUGCAUUUAACGCAGCUUAAGCGCUCGCUCGCGCUCAUUAGUAAAUUGACCGUUACAAAUCUAACCGCUUGCCUCAUCGUGUACUCGACGACUGUACUCGGUCAAAUUACAUUUUAAACACCCUUUCUCCUAAAAAAAUAAGGUAGGAAACUGGUUAAAACGACAAUAUUAGUGUCCACAUUCAACGAAUUCGUUAACUUUGCUGUCCCUUGAGUUCUUUUAAAGCAUUAGAAUCACAUUUCGUGUUUGUUAUUGUGAGAGAACUAAGUUAAGUUAAUUAUAUUAUUGAAAAACGAUAUCCCAACACACAAUUUGUUUUGAAACUUAGCCACUUUAAACUUUAAAAAUAUCCAAAUUAUUUAGAUUAUUUAAAUAUUUAUCUAUGUGUAGCUCAAUGAUGGAAAGCUUAGUUUAGGCUAAAUCUCGUUGCUUGUUUUAUAAACGAUUAUAAUAAUGCAUUAUAUGCAUAGAUACAAUUCACAUUAUUAUUAUUAUUAAAAAGAGUGUAUGACAGGGAUUGUAUUACUUUUUAUUUAUUUAUGUUUGGUGUAAAGCAGUAUGGAUGCAGGUGAUGCAAGUCAACCAAUGACUCAGUCUGCAGAAUAUGAACAGUCACCAUUAGUAAUUUGCAAAGAGGAGAACACAAAAGUGGUUCUACCCGACUCUUCAACCAGUACACAUCUUGGUGACUCUCCAAACGAUGAAGAUGCAAAACAGAAGUUGGAUGUCGAGACAUCCGCCAGAAAUAUUUUCAACAAUAACAAUGCAGGCCCUUUCAGUGAGAUGUUUCAUAUACAUGUUUCACAUGUGCUGUGGCCUCAAAAACUAUUUAGAUGCUUGUGUAUUCUCAAGUCAUUCUUAAUGAUGUAUCAAUGCCAUUGCAUUCUAAAACAAUAUAUCAAGCCAAAUGGCAUCCCCACAUAAAUGAUACUAAACUAACAUUACUUUUCAGAGCCUUUUUUGACUUUAUCUUUGAUUUUUUUUUAAGCAGUUUCACUGGUGUUUCACAAUAAGGCGUUCAAAUACAUUUUGUGUAAUUUUGAAUAAUAUUUUUGUUGUUUUGUCAUUUAAAGCUUAGCAAACCACUUUUUGUGAAAUAUUUUUUUGCGGCCACUGUAGGUGAAACCAAACUUUAUAUACAUUUUUGUCUCUGACAAAUCAAAAGUAUGAUGUGCACAGACUUGUCCUCAUAUGACUUUUGUUUUGUUGCUCAAAAGUCUCUGUCAACCACAGCGGCGGUGUCCAGUUUAUCCCCUGCCAGCAGAGAUAUGAUACCUUCACCUCCUGGCCUGGGUCUCCCAUAAUGCAGUAUGCUGUCCACUCCAGCAAUGGCACUUACAUUGUGUCUGAAGAUAAGGGCCAAGGUAAUGACAUCACCAUUUGGAUUUGAAGUCAUUCAUUUGGAUUAUACUCUCGUUUUAAAAAAUACCAUAUAAUGUACACCGUAGAUGUAUUAAUAAGCAAAUGGGGGAUUAUUAGAACAUGUCUUGGCCACUUUUUGCACCAAAAUAAGACAUUAGAACCAGUAGGAUUAUUUUGCAUUUGACAUCGUCUUCAUUAUAAGAAAUGUUUGUUCAUUGAAGUAUAGGAAUUCUGG